rnacentral:rRNA from 1 species
AGUGAACGCUGGCGGUAGGCCUAACACAUGCAAGUCGAACGGCAGCACAGUAAGAGCUUGCUCUUACGGGUGGCGAGUGGCGGACGGGUGAGGAAUACAUCGGAAUCAACUUUUUCGUGGGGGAUAACGUAGGGAAACUUACGCUAAUACCGCAUACGACCUACGGGUGAAAGCAGGGGAUCUUCGGACCUUGCGCGAUUGAAUGAGCCGAUGUCGGAUUAGCUAGUUGGCGGGGUAAAGGCCCACCAAGGCGACGAUCCGUAGCUGGUCUGAGAGGAUGAUAGGCGGCCUGAGAGCGGGAACGGGCCCAAGGCCACUGCGGGAGGGCCCAGUGGGGAAUGGGGGACAGGGGGGGCGAACAUGACCCACCCAUCCGGCGGGUGAGAAAGAGGCGUCGGGUUUGUAAAGCCGUUUUUUGGGGAAAAAAAAGCAGCAGGUUAAUACCCAGCUGUUGUGGCGGUACCCAAAAAAUAAGCACCGGCUAACUUCGUG